rnacentral:rRNA from 1 species
CAGCCGCCGCGGUAAUACGAAGGGUGCAAGCGUUACUCGGAAUUACUGGACGUAAAGCGUGCGUAGGUGGUGGUUUAAGUCCGUUGUGAAAGCCCUGGGCUCAACCUGGGAAUUGCAGUGGAUACUGGGUCACUAGAGUGUGGUAGAGGAUAGUGGAAUUUCCGGUGUAGCAGUGAAAUGCGUAGAGAUCGGAAGGAACAUCUGUGGCGAAGGCGACUAUCUGGGCCAACACUGACACUGAGGCACGAAAGCGUGGGGAGCAAACAGGAUUAGAUACCCCGGUAGUCCCUGUCUCUUAUAC